ensembl:lncRNA
AUCAUCUUAAUGUUUAUGCAGUUAAAUGUUUUUAUUAUUUUUUAUAUCUAAAGCACCUUGUUCAAUAAGUAUUUAGAUGUUUCUCAUAUCUGUCACGGUCUAAGCAUGAUCUGUUUCUGUUGUUCUGAUGAAGGAAACUUGUGUUGGGGAGGAUUCAGUGUCUGUUGAGGCCCAUGUGAAUGUGCUACAAAGUGAGUAUCAGAAAACACAUCCAGACACCUGGACUGUCAAAGACCACACGGCAGGAACAUUCUCCUGGAGACGCUGAGAAAGCACGGAAGGAAUGUCUGUGGAGGAUGUACUAAAAAAACACCCAUACUUAAGGGCACCUGCUGGAUUUUUAUGUAGGGGGACCCUACUACACCCUUUCCUACCAUACACCUGAUGGAUACUGACUGGAAAAUGGCGAUCAUAGGAGGAGGGUUCAGUGUGGUGACAGAAGAUGGAAUAGACGUGUGCCAGUGCACCAGCCUUGAUGAAGCCUUCAUAACAGCCUUCUGUAUCAUUGACUGGAAGUCUGUCAGUCCAGAUGUGAGGAAGACCUACAGAGUGAGUUGGAGCUCAGCAGGUGUGAUGGCUGUAGAUGCUGUGGCCAUGGAAAGAAGGGCGUCUUCACAGCUUUCUAUUCAGACAGAGUUUGCUGGAUUCUGUUCUAUGGACUGCUUCUACAGAAUGAAUGAAUGAUUGAGUGGUCUGUCUAUCUAUCUAUCCAUCUAAUAUUUUUUUAUUUUAUUUUUUUACUUGAAUUUGCG